rnacentral:rRNA from 1 species
UGGGGAAUAUUGCACAAUGGGCGCAAGCCUGAUGCAGCAACGCCGCGUGAACGAUGAAGGUCUUCGGAUCGUAAAGUUCUGUUGCAGGGGAAGAUAAUGACGGUACCCUGCGAGGAAGCCCCGGCUAACUACGUGCCAGCAGCCGCGGUAAUACGUAGGGGGCUAGCGUUAUCCGGGUUUACUGGGCGUAAAGGGUGCGUAGGUGGUCUUUCAAGUCGGUGGUUAAAGGCUACGGCUCAACCGUAGUUAGCCUCCGAAACUGGAAGACUUGAGUGCAGGAGAGGAAAGUGGAAUUCCCGGUGUAGCGGUGAAAUGCGUAGAUAUUGGGAGGAAGACCAGUAGCGAAGGCGGCUUUCUGGACUGCAACUGACACUGAGGCACGAAAGCGUGGGUAGCAAACAGG